GCGGCGGACGGGUGAGUAACACGUGGGCAACCUGCCCUGCAGACUGGGAUAACUUCGGGAAACCGGAGCUAAUACCGGAUAACACCGAAAACCGCAUGGUUUUCGGUUGAAAGGCGGCUUUUACCUGUCACUGCAGGAUGGGCCCGCGGCGCAUUAGCUAGUUGGUGAGGUAACGGCUCACCAAGGCGACGAUGCGUAUCCGACCUGAGAGGGUGACCGGCCACACUGGGACUGAGACACGGCCCAGACUCCUACGGGAGGCAGCAGUAGGGAAUCUUCCGCAAUGGACGAAAGUCUGACGGAGCAACGCCGCGUGAGCGAAGAAGGUCUUCGGAUCGUAAAGCUCUGUUGUCAGGGAAGAACAAGUACCGUUCGAACAGGGCGGUACCUUGACGGUACCUGACGAGGAAGCCACGGCUAACUACGUGCCAGCAGCCGCGGUAAUAC
rnacentral:rRNA from 1 species